UACAUAUGAUGUGAAAUAUUUGCUAUCUAAACACCUAUGCUGACAUUUCCACCAAGAUCACUGAUGCA
rnacentral:snoRNA from 1 species